UACACUCCUGCGGGAGGCAGCAGUGGGGAAUUUUGGACAAUGGGCGAAAGCCUGAUCCAGCAAUGCCGCGUGAAUGAAGAAGGCCUUCGGGUUGUAAAGCUCUUUUGUCAGGGAAGAAACGGUGAGAGCUAAUAUCUUUUGCUAAUGACGGUACCUGAAGAAUAAGCACCGGCUAACUACGUGCCAGCAGCCGCGGUAAUACGUAGGGUGCAAGCGUUAAUCGGAAUUACUGGGCGUAAAGCGUGCGCAGGCGGUUUUGUAAGUCUGAUGUGAAAUCCCCGGGCUCAACCUGGGAAUUGCAUUGGAGACUGCAAGGCUAGAAUCUGGCAGAGGGGGGUAGAAUUUCACGUGUAGCAGUGAAAUGCGUAGAUAUGUGGAGGAACACCGAUGGCGAAGGCAGCCCCCUGGGUCAAGAUUGACGCUCAUGCACGAAAGCGUGGGGAGCAAACAGGAUUAGAAACCCCUGUAGUCCCA
rnacentral:rRNA from 1 species